rnacentral:rRNA from 1 species
UACAGAGGGCGCGAGCGUUGUCCGGAAUCACUGGGCGUAAAGGGCGCGUAGGUGGCCACCCUAAGGCCGCGGUGAAAGUUCGGGGCUCAACCCCGGAUCGGCCGUGGCGACUCGUGGGCUGGAGCACUGUAGAGGCGGGUGGAAUUCCGGGUGUAGCGGUGGAAUGCGUAGAGAUCCGGAAGAACACCAGUGGCGAAGGCGGCCCGCUGGGCAGUGGCUGACGCUGAAGCGCGACAGCGUGGGGAGCAAACAGG